CUCAUAGGGUACUGUUUGACCGAGA
rnacentral:piRNA from 1 species